CCCACAACUGCCUCACAAGCAUCCCAGAGUCCAGUCAGCAGACAGCAGAAGAGACUGUCAGCAGACCACCUUGGAGGGGAUGCUUGGAGCUGCCUAACGUGUGAUUCAAAGAUGAAUUCCAUGUGUUUGGAGAAGAAGCCCUAGCCUCAACACAAAGGUUGGCCACAUUCCAGCCAAGGUAGCACGGAGUGAAGGCCCGUGGAGGGAGAGCUGGGCUUUUCUGAACUACUUCAGUACACCUUGCUGUGCCUUGGCCUGCCGUGUUUCAUCCCCAUGGCUGUCCUCAGUGAUGUGCAUGGUCACUGCUCCCUUCACCACUGAGAAGACGGGCACAGGACAGUCAGGGGAUGUGUCCAAGGUCCCACAGCAGGAAGGGCUGGAGCCAGAAUGUGGUCUGAGAGGCUGGAUAUACAAAGAGACAAUGGCAUGACCAUCUGUACAAAUGGAACUAUGGCCCACAACCUGCAGCAGCCAGCCCAGGAAGCCAACCCGUCACCUGCAGCAGCCAGGAUGGAUGCUGGCCUGCCCUCAGGUGCCCUUGUUGGAGAACAUGGGGGGCCAAAUUCCAAACGUGGCAAGAGAUAACAAAUGACUUGUCUGGUGGCUGAACCCUGAGCUGGGAGCACUGCCUGGAGAAAACUCUGAUACUCAAGUCUAGUUUUAUAUGGCUCCAAACGCCUCCACCAUGAGCUCAAGGCAGUGAGACUGACUGAAAAACCCUCUCUAUUACAGACCACAACAUUGAACCCAACAUCCCCCUAAGUAGGUUGUACUCACAUCAUUGGUCUUAUGGGGAAAUUUUAAGACCUCCCACUUGUAAGGUUUUAUAGCCCUCUAUGGAAUAUUGAAGAAAGAGUAAAAUGCAUCCAAAAAAAAAAAAAAACACUAAACUGGAUAAAUUCUAAGGCCUCUUCAGGUCUUAAGAUGGCCAUUUUCUAGGUCCUCUUGCUGCAGCAGUGAAAUCCACAAACACGGACAAGUCAGUCAGUUACGUGCCUUUCAGAGAAAACUUCUGACUUAGGAAUUCCAGCUAUUUGGCCCAACCCAUAUUAGAUUGUGUUAUAAAGACAUGGUAAAUUACAUCACGAAGGGAAGAGCAGAGGAAACAUAAUAUUCCUUCAAGACCCAUCAGCUCAGAUGUUAGCAGAACACCCCUAAGGAGGAAAACAAGAAAUUUUGGGUUUGAACUUGGUACUUCCCAGCAGCCCUGGGAGUGGGGUCAGAAGCCCUGCUGGGGGCCAAAGAACUCUGAGGAUCAAAGAUGUUGAGCAUCACCUUAGAGGCCAAAGAUCAGAACAGUGGAGGUGGCCUUUGAAGCCCAACCUGUCUUUCACCAGAGAGUGAGAACGGCCUCUAUUUCCAGGAAGCUCACUGCAGCAAUAAUCAUGAUGCUCUGAGCCUGACAAGCAAAAGAAAACUUCUUUAGGAGGAUAAAAGGGAGAUGAAGAAACAGAAAACACAUCAGCUCUCCAUCCAGAUUACAGAAAGCAGAAAACAUCCUGAAGUGAAUAACAUAGGAAUCGCUCUUUUUCCCCCCUGAGAUAGCAGGUUACUUAUGAGAAACAAGCUUGAAAUCUCUGCACCUGGACCAGCUUCCAGAGGCUUUUGUCCUGACCAGCUGGCUUUGGGGAAGUAAAGGAAACCAGAGAAGAAGAGGCUGAAAGAAUUGGUUUCCACCGUGACCUUUGAACCCUCGGGCGAGUUGUCAGCCUCACUGAGGAUGAGUGUACUCCAUAUCAAGUGAGGUCACUUUACUCGCAAGCUUGUUGUGAGGACUGAAUGAAACCUUUUCUUUUUUCUUGGAGUUUCAGAGCAACGUCCCUGAGCCCAGCCCCACACUGGCUUGAGCCCUGUCGUCGGUCAAGACACGGUGCUUUCUCCCCUCCCCUCUGCACUCCAGCUUACUCUGCAGUCAGGAGGUGGCACCACGAUCCCCUUUAAGACUUUGCCACUUGGGCCAGCUGCGCCCCUGUGAAAUUCCCUGUUUCUAUUGCAGGCCACAAGGACGAGCUGAGAAAUGGCUUCCAGUCACCAUCUAGAUUAGAAAGCCUAUAUUUCAAAUAUAGAUAUAUCAAUUAUGCCUGUAAAAAGACAUUAAAUCCCACAGGGCUGUAAUUCCUAGACUCUACGAAUUUCAUCUUGCACCAAAUUUUAUUAUUUCAUUUAUAAUUCGGAUUCUUCAAAUCUAAGAGUGCCUGGCUCAAAAUUAAAAUACCUACAACUAUGCCAAAACUGGACUCUUUAAUUGCCUUACUGGAACCAGUAGCUGAUUCAAAGCAAAACGAAACAAAAUUCCUCCUUUCUCUGAUUUAGUGAAUCAAUGAUCUAACUGAACUCAUUUUUGGACUGAGUUUGCGGCACUUGCAGCCCUGAGGGACACAUUCCCCCACCACACUGAGCCUGCACUCCCAUCAAUGCAAAUGAACAUUUUGCUUAUUCAGAUUGGGGGGGUGAAGGAAGUCACAAAAGGGUUAAUACAUAUGGCAUUUCAUUGUAAUAUGUACUCACUACUAACUAAAUUAAAAGAGAUGUGAGUUAUUAAAAACUCCAUCUUAAGAAAGUAACAGAAAUCAGAGUUCAGAUUCGUUGUUACUGAGUUUCCAACCAACACCUGUGAGUUAAACCUACGGCCACCCUGAA
rnacentral:lncRNA from 1 species